rnacentral:rRNA from 1 species
AUUGAACGCUGGCGGCAUGCUUUACACAUGCAAGUCGAACGGUAACAGGUUAAGCUGACGAGUGGCGAACGGGUGAGUAAUGCAUCGGAACGUGCCCGGUCGUGGGGGAUAACACUUCGGAAGAAGUGCUAAUACCGCAUACGAUCUGAGGAUGAAAGCGGGGGACCGUAAGGCCUCGCGCGAUCGGAGCGGCCGAUGUCAGAUGAGGUAGUUGGUGGGGUAAAGGCUCACCAAGCCGACGAUCUGUAGCUGGUCUGAGAGGACGACCAGCCACACUGGGACUGAGACACGGCCCAGACUCCUACGGGAGGCAGCAGUGGGGAAUUUUGGACAAUGGGCGCAAGCCUGAUCCAGCAAUGCCGCGUGCAGGAAGAAGGCCUUCGGGUUGUAAACUGCUUUUGUACGGAGCGAAAAGGCUCUCUCUAAUACAGGGGGCUCAUGACGGUACCGUAAGAAUAAGCACCGGCUAACUACGUGCCAGCAGCCGCCGUAA